rnacentral:tRNA from 1 species
AAUGUGAAGCAAUAAUUUUGCAGUUAGUUUCGACCUAAUCUUUAGAUUUAAUAUCCACAUUU